rnacentral:lncRNA from 1 species
AGAUCCCCACUCAUUCUAGUCCUGAGGUUUUGUUUCUUGUUUUUAAUCCUUAAAUUAAUUUAUACGUAUAGAGUGGAAGCUUCUGCUUCAGCCAGACCCCAGCAUGUUGUUCAGCACAGUGAUUUUCCAGUGCAGAAAAGGGUAUAGAUGGGUAGCCCAAGAGCGGACACAAGUGUCUGUCUUGAGACCAUCUCUCCUCCCAUUGGAGUUCAGCUUAGUUCACAUGCAUCACCUUUAGCCUGUGCACAGCUGCGCCCACUCGUGAAUCCUAAUUUAAUCCAGCACCUUCCUCACCAGCUGGGUGGUGGCUCUGUGAUGGGGGCUCUAAGUCGCAGACCCCAACUCUUCAUUUUCUUUAACUUUUCUUGCUGCUAUUUGUCUCUUUUGUUUCUUUCUUACUAGUCUUUUCUUCCUUACUUUGUACAUACAGUGCCUAAAAUAUAUUAUUAACUACUAGGGACUAAAAAAUAUGACAAAGGUUUUUAGAACAUAUAUUACAUUCUCCAUGUCUUUUAAAAAUAUUUUAAAAUAUAUUUAUUUUAUAAUAAAUAAAUAUUUAUUUUUAUUUUAUGUGUAUUGUUUUUGUCUGAAAAUAUAUGCACCAUAUGUGUGCCUGGUGCCAAGUAGGUCAGAGGAGGGUAUUAAAUCUCUUGGAACGCAAGUUAUAGCAGCUUGCAAGCAGCUACAUGGAUGCUGGGUGCUGAGCCAGUGUUUUCUAUAAGAAUAGCAGGAGCUCUAACCAUUUAGCCAUCUCUCUAACCCCAUUCUCCCCAAUUUACUUUUAAAAUAAGUUUGCCUUUUAGCAUUAUGCUUAUACUACAUUAUUUAUAUUUCAGUAUUGAAAGUAAAUAGAAUCUGCUCUCUUUUUAACAUAGUUUCUUAGUAAACCAUCAUUUUAAAGGCAUAGCUAAUAAAAUUGCACUGACAUAAUUCUUUGAGGUUUGCCAGAAUUUUUACAACAUUCUGUCUAAGGGAUAAGCAUUUUCUUUGUGAAGCAGAGUCAUGAAGGUUGGUUCUUCUCAACUCCCUGGUUAGACGAAUAGUGGUUUCAAGUCUAUUCUAAAACCUGGGGUUUGCUUUAGGAAAGUCCUUAGUAGGGAGAUGAGCCUAGAAUCUUUUUAGUGCCUGAUGAGUCCCACCGAGCUGGGUGUGUGCUUGUUAACUUGCUGACCAUUCAUUUAUCCAUUAAGGUGAUUCAUCUGAAUACAAGGCAGGCAGGCAGGCGGGCAGGCAGGCGGGCAGGCAGGCGGGCGGGCAGGCAGAGGCUGCUGAGGCUCUCUGUGUUGCCUUAUGUUUGUUUAUUAAGAAAAUGAACGCUUCCUCAGGAAACAUUGCCAAAACUUACCUUUGAGUAUCCUGAAGGUGGAUAAGAACAUGAGAGAACAGAAUUGAAUCCCUGUUCAUUCUUGAGUCUGGUUAAAAUUCUCUCCUGUGGUACCAUUUGCUGUGGACUAGAUCAGGGUUCUGUAGAUGGGCAAGACGCAGGACGAGGCCAACAGGCAGUGUCUGUACACUACAGUUUGCUUUUGCUUCUUGUCAAAUAACCUCAUUUUCUUUGUUUAUCCUGAUUUAUUUUAACUCUAAAUUACUUAACCUGUGUAUAAAAGUAGAUUAGUAAUCUUUCUUGUAUAUCCUGUAGUUUUUCAAGUUAAUUCAUAUUUUAGUUUUUUUAUUAUACCUCUGUUCUAACUUAUACAUUAAUUCACAGUUUAAUCAGACCAGAGAGUCUAAUGCACUAUCAUAAUUUUUAAAUUUAUAAUUAACUUUGUAAUCUGUACACUAUAGUAAGAAAUAUUACAUCCUUACAUAGUUAAUCUAUCAGUAUCAUAUAUUUGUUGUCUUAAACCUGUUUUUGUAAUAUUUUUAUUUUGCAGUAAAUUCUAUAAAAUUCCAUCCCUCAGAGCAGUUGGCUCUUACUGGUAUGUAGAAUCUUCUCCUUUUCUUGAAUGAAAUUAUUAAUAAUCUUAAAACAGCUAUAAAUUUUAUAUUCUUUUGUUAGUACUAUCAGAGUUAUUCAUGGUACUUAUGAAAGUUAGAUAUUUUAUUAAUUACUUUAUUUCUUUUUAAGACAUUUACUUAAGCUUCAGUAACUUGUAUUCAUCCUGUUUAAUACUGGCUCCAGCAGUGGGGGCGCACGCCUUUAAUCUCAGUACUUGGGAGGCAGACGCAGGUGGAGUUCUGAGUUCGAGGUCAGCCUGGUCUUACAGAGUGAAUUCCAGGACAGCCAGGGCUACACAGAGAAACCCUGUCUC